rnacentral:tmRNA from 1 species
ACCCUUGCUCAACUUGUUGUUAUUCUCCCUGAGCGAUGGCGUCCAAAAAGCCUGAUAAAACCUAUGAAGAAAUGGUCAAGGAAGUAGAAAGGCUUAAACUGGAGAAUAAAACACUUAAACAAAAGGUUAAGUCUUCAGGCGCUGUCUCAUCAGAUGAUAGCAUCUUGACAGCUGCCAAGAGAGAAAGUAUCAUUGUCUCUUCAUCCAGAGCACUAGGAGCAGUGGCUAUGAGAAAAAUCGAGGCUAAAGUCAGAUCCCGGGCGGCCAAAGCUGUUACAGAGCAGGAACUAACCUCUCUUCUCCAAUCGCUGACCCUGAGAGUUGACGUGUCUAUGGAGGAAACUACUGUGGGUGCCAGCGGAGGGAUUGGCCCAUCCUCUCAAACAGAGACCAAGAAAAGAAGACCCAGGUCCAAAUCAAGACACAGACAUGAUCAUGAAUAAAAAGAAACACUUGAAUCUAUAAUCAAAAUUGUCAGGUGUGAUUAUCUGGAAUUAGUUGUGGUUGAACGGCGCCUGUGUACUCAAAGGAUCCGCCCAUAGCUGAGUUGGGAGUAGCAGAGACUCCAAUCAACUGGCUCAAGUAGACCUGCUUCGAUCCGUGCCAGUCCUAUAAGAACAGAAAACAUGGGGGAUGAAUUUUAUUAUCCUUCUCUGGAAAGCGUGGUCCACACCUUUUGUGUCAUAGAUACUAGGGAACAUAAUAGAGUAAGUGCCUGUUUGUGUAAGCUUCAGGUGCUGUGUAAAAUUUGUCAGACACUGCGCCACAACUUGGAUACAGAGCCAUUUUUGUUGCCCCACUUGAGGGAACUAAUUAUCAGACACCUAACACUAUUGGAGAGGUUGUCCACUACCUCCAAAUUUCAGCGCAUACUCGACUACAUGAAGCUAUCCCUUGAGGCAAAUGAUUCAAACUUGUUACAAGACUUGGCCAUAGGCACUGUCAAUUUACUGGGCUGUCAAAGUCCAGAGAUUUUGUCUAUCCCAUAUGACAAAGAUCAGCCUGUACAUGAAUGGUGUGCAUGUUUCCUGACCUCUGUAGACGAGGAAGCCUUGAGAAAAAUAUCUUCUAUGUUGGACAAUAAACACUUUUCUUAUAUGUACAACUUUAAAACAUUCUUAAAGUAUUCACUAGAGUUAGAAACAGCUGCAGACUUUGAUUUAUCUACUGGACUCAAUGUCCUUGUGUAUUGGGUAAGCGUCUUUAAACUGUUCAGUGUUUGUGUCCAAAGUCAGUUUCUGCUGGACAGCCUUGUGGCAUUUAAUGCCCUUUUUAAAAAUCAUGUAAAAGAGUUAGAAGCGAUUGUGGAAUCUGACACAAACCUGCUCUGCUAUAGCACAUCUGUUGUGUGGGCAAAAUUGUCUAACUUAAACCAUCUGCUCCACAGACUUCAGACUAGUAACAACACUUUAGUUUUUGAUGAAAUACUGAUCUGUCUGCGUGGUUUACAAAUUUAUAUAAAAUGUUUACCUACCUUAUCGGCUGAAGGGGAAUCCGAGUCAGAGGCCAUCGCUGCAGAAAUUCCCUCGUAGUGCAGGAGUUGUAUUUUUGAGUGUAGAUUGAAAAGAGUUGUGCUCUCUCCUCAGCCUUUGAAGGGACAUUUCAUGACUCAUGUAGGAGGAGCUACCAGAUUUCCAUAAAAGUGGGAGGCUAUUAUUUCUUGCAGACUGCAGCACAUUGUGGGAUAAUGUGUUCAAAAAUGGACCUUGAAACCCGUGAAGGUGGUGGUUGCCAGCAGGUUUCAAUUCUCAUGGUCACAUCUGACAGAGAAAAGGAACAGUAUGAGAAAUUUAUGAACAUACUUAAGAAUCUUUCAAAUUGUACUGAUAUAUCUCAGGUCGUGGCAGAUGCUAAAAAAAUCUAUGAUUCCAGGGAAUUUUGUUAUGUGCCUGCCCUUCUCACUCUGUUCAAGAAGUUGCCUUCUGUUCAUAAAUGGCCUGAAAAUGAAAACUGUAAUGAGGUGCUAAGUGCUGCCUUCUUUGUGUGCCAGCUCUUAUUUUUUCAUAACUUCCCAGCCUCACCAGCUUUUACAGUGGAUGAAAUGUUUGCAACAGUGGCUGCUAGAUUGAAGGAUCUGAUAGAAUAUUCAUGUGACUGUGAGAACUGUGAAUUGUUGGCUGAAUCCCUGACAAAUUAUAAGUUUUCCCUGGUACCUAUAAAGAUCAGGCCACACACCGAUACCUGUGUCUCACUGAAAACACUCCAGCGGCUACGGACUGCCAUGUUAGGCAAUCCUGAAACCCUGAGUAUUUGGACCCUUGAUGACCUGGUGGAGGACCCAGUAGUCUUCAAAGGCUAUGAAAGCGCAAUUAGGAGAGAAUUUGCUGAGCAUGUCACAUGUUUGAACAUGUGCUGGGUUGUGAAGAUAAUCUUGGACUGCAUGUCUCAGCCAACAGCUCUGCUUCGGGAUUGUAUUCAGAAGGGUGCAAAGAAUAAUGGACUCCAGCUGGACACUUCGAGUACCUGGACGUGGCCAGCAGCACGUAUUGCUGAAAAGGAAGUCAUAGAACAUACCAUGAGUGUUUGUGUACAGGAUAUGACUAGAAGUCAUGAUCAGGAAUUCUACACAGAGGCCUUUAAGGAAGAUCUCCAUAUAGGAUUAAAGAGACUAGUUGCCAUGGUCCUUGGGCAGAAUCAUAGUUGGUUAGAUGGCUUUCUGACAGACACUAUAGUGACAGGUAAAGCAUAGCCUGGGGCAUAGUUCUUUGAUGAAUCAUCAUAAAUAUGAUGGCUAAUGUGGUCCUUUUGUGUAUUAAUGCAGAUAUGUUUAUGUAUCCAGGUGUGUUGCUUGAAAGGUAUUUUGCUGUACUAACCCAACACCACCUAUUUAUCAUGUUUGGAAGCCUAUUAAAAACUGUGCUAUUGAC